CACCACCCUGCAUUAUUGUUCUCUCUCCAGUCCUAAGAGCUCUCUCUGGCAUUUAAACAACAGAUCAAUCACUUCAGCACUUUAGCUCCAGGCUAAGAAAUCCUCCCUGCAAUAUUACAGUGCAGAUGAACACACUGCUCUCUAACAGGACCCAUCUCAUGCAGCUCAAUUUCUGAGCAGCCUUUUGCAGGCUUGUUUGGGACUGCCAUCUCCUUCUGCAAGCAAAAUAGCAACUUCUGUUCAAUCCUGCAUGAAGGAGCUGUCCAGCAGUUCUUUCACACUCCCCAAGGGAAUAAAGGCUAAAGCUGGAAGGAAUUCCACAGACUUGAGCAAUAUAUUGGAAUUAUCUUUUCUGCAAACUGUCCAGUUUGUGUAAACUUCACAUUUUACUCUGAUGUCAUGGGAGA